AGGACGAACGCUGGCGGCGUGCUUAACACAUGCAAGUCGAGCGGUAAGGCCUUUCGGGGUACACGAGCGGCGAACGGGUGAGUAACACGUGGGUGAUCUGCCCUGCACUUCGGGAUAAGCCUGGGAAACUGGGUCUAAUACCGGAUAUGACCUCCUAUCGCAUGGUGGGUGGUGGAAAGAUUUAUCGGCGCAGGAUGGGCCCGCGGCCUAUCAGCUUGUUGGUGGGGUGAUGGCCUACCAAGGCGACGACGGGUAGCCGACCUGAGAGGGUGACCGGCCACACUGGGACUGAGACACGGCCCAGACUCCUACGGGAGGCAGCAGUGGGAAUAUGCACAAUGGCGAAAGCCUGAUGCAGCGACGCCGCGUGAGGAUGACGGCCUUCGGGUUGUAAACCUCUUCAGCAGGACGAAGCGCAAGUGACGUACCUGCAGAAGAAGCGAACCGCUAACUACGUGCCAGCACGCCG
rnacentral:rRNA from 1 species